GGAAGCGUUGGUAGAGUCUCUGGUGGUGAGUUUGGAGGAGUUUGCGGUGGUGUCUCCGGUGGUGUGUUUGGUGGAAGCGUUGGUGGAAUCUGUGGUGAUUGGUUUGGAGGAGUUCCCGGUGGUGUGUUUGGAAGUGUCUCCGGUGGUGUGUUUGGAGGCGUUUCCGGUGGAGUGUUUGGAGGACUUUGUGGGGGUGUGUUUGGUGGAGUUUCCGGUUGUGUGGUUGGAGGAGUUUCCGGGGGUGUGUUUGGAGGAGUUUCUGGUGGUGUGGUUGGAGGUGUCUUUGGUGUGUUUGGAGGAGUUCCCGGUGGUGUGUUUGGAGGUGUUUCUGGUGGAGUAUUUGGAGGACUUUGUGGGGGGGUGUUUGGUGGAGUUUCUGGUGGUGUGAUUGGAGGAGUUUCUGGUGGUGUGGUUGGAGGUGUCUCCGGUGGUGUGUUUGGAGGAGUUCCUGGUGGUGUGUUUGGAAGUGUCUCUGGUGGUGUGUUUGGAGGAGUUCCCGGUGGUGUGUUUGGAGGUGUUUCUGGUGGAGUAUUUGGAGGACUUUGUGGGGGGGUGUUUGGUGGAGUUUCUGGUGGUGUGAUUGGAGGAGUUUCUGGUGGUGUUGUUGGAGGUGUCUCCGGUGGUGUGUUUGGAGGAGUUCCUGGUGGUGUGUUUGGAAGUGUCUCCGGUGGUGUGUUUGGAGGAGUUCCCGGUGGUGUGUUUGGAGGUGUUUCUGGUGGAGUAUUUGGAGGACUUUGUGGGGGUGUGUUUGGUGGAAUUUCCGGUGGUGUGGUUGGAGAAGUUUCCGGUGGUGUGUUUGGAGAAGUUUCUGGUGGUGUGGUUGGAGGUGUCUCCGGUGGUGUGGUUGGAGGUGUCUCCGGUGGUGUGUUUGGAGGAGUUCCCGGUGGUGUGUUUGGAGGUAUUUCCGGUGGAGUGUUUGGAGGACUUUCUGGGGGCGUGUUUGGUGGAGUUUCUGGUGGUGUUGUUGGAGGUGUCUCCGGUGGCGUGUUUGGUGGAAGCGUUGGUGGAGUCUGUGGUGGUGUGUUAG
rnacentral:lncRNA from 1 species